AUGAGGAGAAGGAAAUCGCAAUUGAAGAGGAAAAGGGCAACCAUCAACGAUGUAAGCAACAUCGACAUCGCCAUAGACCACUGUUUACAACCUCCCAGAUUAGAACUCGGAUCCACUCCAACCCAGCUGCACGCACGACAAGCCCAUUGUCCAUCACCUCCAUCACCAUCGCGAGCCGCUGGUGAACCACCUAUGGAACCUCCACGAACCGUUUGA